rnacentral:lncRNA from 1 species
GUUGGUGCGAAGGAAAUUAAUGGAGGGCAACCUGGGACAGUGUGGGGCCAUUUUGUCCGUUACUGAAAAGAGGUGAUAAGGUGAUAGAAUCUUAAACGGUCAAAAGAAGUGGAAAUCUAUCCAUUUAAUUUUUUUUUAAAAAAAAACAAAAAUAUAUACAAAUUUGGUGUAAUUUGAAUUUUUUUUUAGUGGUAUUUUGCUCCAAGAAAAAUAAUAUUGAGUGCUCAAAGGAUAGAGCUCAAUGGAGUUCAUUGUACAAGCUUUGAGAGUUGAUAGAGAUAGUAAAUAAGUUUAUUCUCUAUUUUCGUAGCUUGUUUUAGAAUAAUAAAUAAUAAAAAAGAUUUGGCUAUAGAUUCUUUAAAGUCACUUGUUAAAAUUCAUUUAAAACUCACAAUUAAUCCAUAUCUUUUUAUUUGGAACAAUAUUUAUUAUAAAUACCUAAAAAUAUUAUAUAAAAAUAUGAGUUCUUUAAUAUCUCGUUGAUUUGGUAUUGCAUUUUAUUCAUUUAUAUAAUUCGCAUAGUUGUUGUCAAAUUAGUUAAAAGCCUCUGUUACCAAAUCAUCAGUCAAUGAUCAGGUCAUCAUAUUAAGUCAAAUUAAUCUAUAUUAUUUCAGUGGAUUAAAAAAAUUGAAACAAUGAUUGCUUUGGAUAAAAAAAAAAUUUUAAAAAAAUCAUGGAGAUGACUUAGUCUUAAUGUCAACUAGAUUAUGGGUUAAUUUAUCUGAGUUACUUAAAUUUAAUCGAGUCCAAAACAAUUCAGAAAAAAUAUAAUAGUUUGGUCUAGGCUCUAGAUCAACAAGUUAUUUAUGUGGUAUUUGAGAGUGUGGUUGUAAUUGUUUUUCAAAGUGUUUUUCGUUCGGAAAUGUAUGAAAAUAAUGUUUUUUUUUAUUUUUUAAAAUUUAAUUUUGAUAUCAACACAUAAAAACGAUUAAAAAUACUAAAAAAAUUAAUUUCAAACAAAAAAAAUCAAGAUUUUGUAAAACACGGUUUCUAUCGCAAAAACAAACACUCUCAAGUCAGCCAGAUUUUGGAUGUGUUUGAUAUUGUGAUAAUUUUUGCAAUUACCAUUUAAAAAAAUAAAUUUAAAAGAAUUACUUUUACUCGUGAUUGACUAGACUAAAAUAUGUGUUUAGUUAAAAUCUUUAUUAAAAUUGUUGUUGAAUAAAAAUUUGUUUAAAUUGCUAGUAAAAUAACUAAAAAGACGUGUAUUAAUUUCUUGUUUUUGAAUUACAUUAUUAUAUAUUGAAUUAUUAACACAUUAUAAAUAUAACAAUGCCACAUUAAGAUAUUACUUUUAUUAUCCCAUUAAACUGUCAACUCUUUACUUCACCCCAUUUAUGUUUGUCUUUAGAGAACAUCAAGCCAUAGUUUGAAGCUGAAAAAUAAGAUGGAAAGAAAAUGUUUAAACACUGCCGAAUCAAAUUUAAUUCGAACUCACCCAAAGAGUUGCCGGCAUCAAGAAAACAUGAAGAUUUGUCUGUGAAAACUCUCCAAACUUUGUAGGGACGGUUUGUGUAGAUCUGAUGGAGUGUUCCUUAUAGGCAAAACUAGACUUCUGUGUGAAAUAUUAAUAUCAACUAUCUGUCGGGUUUCUGGUUUGGCCAAGAUUUUAAUGUCCGCCUCUCGUCUCGAUAGAUCUCCGAAUCCUCUCGUUUAACGCAACACCUCCCUCCCUCCCUCCCUCUCUCUCUCUCUCUACCUAUCUCUCUCUCUCUCUCC